UAAAAAAAAAAAUGGGUCGGGUUGUUUCAAUUUGGUAUCAGAGCGAUUACGGUUCUAGGAUGUGUAGAAAAAUUAAUUGAUGAAUUAUUUUCCUGAUGAUUGAUUAUGGAGUGUUUAGUCAAUUGUGUGUUGUUGGAGUCCUAACAUCAUCUUCUCCGAGCCUUAAAUGAGAUUCCACGGUAAGUUGUUUGUGAUAUAUUCGUUUGUUUUAGUUUCUUAGCCAUUUGUUCUUGAGUAGCGCAGAUGGUUAGAGGAGCUGGAGUUCGUGGUCGUGGUCGCGGUAGGGGACGAGUCCUCGAGGGUACAGGCGAGAGUGAUGGCCACAGUGCCACAGUUGAGCAGAGUGUGGGUUCGCAGCCUGAGUUUGUGGAGCCCGGGGUUAGGAACGGUCUUGGUGCCGAUAAAGCUGGUGCAGCCGGAGUGGGGGCUGGUGGAGCUGGUGUCGGUAUCGGUGUGCAUGUCGUUGGUGCUGAGGGCCCAGGAGUGAUGGGUGUCGCAGCCGGAGGAGCCCAGGUUCCAGAGGUUGGUUUGGCGGGCCUGCUGAGGCAGUUUUUGGAGCGGUUACCAGGUGUGGUACCAGUGCAGGCUCCAGUGGCGCCACGAGUGGCGGAGGUGCAGCAGAGGGCUGCGGUUGCUGAGGAGGUUCCAUCUUAUUUGAGGAUGAUGGAGCAGUUGCAGAGGAUUGGCACCGGGUAUUUUUCUGGUGGUACUAGUCCUGAGGAGGCCGACAGUUGGAGGUCGCGUGUUGAGCGGAACUUCGGUUCGAGCAGAUGCCCGGCGGAGUAUCGGGUGGAUCUAGCAGUGCAUUUUCUAGAGGGGGAUGCACAUUUGUGGUGGCGGAGUGUGACUGCCAGGAGGAGGCAGGCGGAUAUGUCUUGGGCAGAUUUUGUGGCUGAGUUUAAUGCCAAGUACUUUCCGCAGGAGGCGCUCGACUGUAUGGAGGCGCGUUUUCUUGAGCUGACACAGGGUGAGCGGUCGGUUCGGGAGUAUGACCGGGAGUUUAGCCGACUCUUGGUGUAUGCGGGUCGGGGCAUGGAGGAUGACCAGGCCCAGAUGAGGAGGUUCUUGAGGGGACUUCGACCGGAUUUGAGGGUGCGGUGUAGAGUGUCGCAGUACGCCACGAAGGCGGCACUGGUGGAGACGGCUGCUGAGGUAGAGGAGGACCUUCAGAGGCAGGUGGUGGGAGUGAGUCCAGCAGUACAACCGAAGAAGACUUAGCAGCAGGUGGCACCUAGCAAGGGCGGCAACCCUGCGCAGGGGCAGAAAAGGAAGUGGGAUCAUCCUUGUAGAGCUGGACAGGGUGGUCGUGCAAGAUGUUUUUCUUGUGGGAGCCUUGACCACAAGGUGGCGGAUUGCACGCAGCGAGCUGAGACGAGAGAGUUGUACCACUGCAGGGAGAGGAGACAUCUCAUGCCGAAUUGUCCUAAGCUGCAGCGGAUGACAGUGGCAGUGGUACAGCCGGCGGUGCAGCACGGAGCGCAGGUGCAGCAGGGAGUGCAGCAGUUGGCACAUAUUGCAGCGGCACCGCAGGGUUACACUACGCGUGAGAUAUGCGGUACCAGCAACAGAGCGAAUACUGGUAUGAUUUCUGAGACUCAGACUUUGUGAAUUAUUUCUGUUGUUUUGGAUAUCAUUGUUUUGUGAUGAAUGUUAGGGUUCUUAGCCCAUGAGAUUUGUGUAGGGACCUUAUUAGUGGGCGGUGUAGAGGCCCAUGUGUUGUUUGACUCUGGAGCAUCGCAUUGCUUCAUUACCCCGGAGAGUGCCUCGCGCGGCAACAUCCGUGGGGAUCCUAGUGAGCAGCUUGGAGUCGUCAAGGUUGCUGGAGGGCAGUUUCUAGCGGUUCUGGGGAGAGCGAAGGGUGUGGAUAUUCAGAUUGCAGGGGAGUCAAUGCCAGCAGAUUUGAUUAUCAGCCCUAUAGAGUUGUAUGAUGUUAUUCUGGGAAUGGAUUGGUUAGAUCAUUACAGAGUACAUCUUGACUGCCACCGUGGGAGAGUUUCUUUUGAGCGGCCAGAGGGAAGGGUUGGUUUAUCAGGGAGUGAGACCUACCUCAGGGAGUCUCGUCAUUUCAGCAGUGCAGGCAGAGAAAAUGAUCGAGAAGGGCUGCGAGGCUUACCUGGUGACGAUAUCUAUGCCGGAGUCUGUGGGGCAGGUAGCAGUGAGCGACAUUUGGGUUGUUCAGGAGUUCGAGGAUGUGUUUCAAUCGUUGCAGGGAUUACCACCAUCACGGUCUGAUCCUUUCACGAUUGAGUUGGAACUAGGGACAGCGCCGUUGUCUAAGGCACCCUACAGGAUGGCUCCAGCAGAGAUGGCAGAGCUAAAGAAGCAGCUAGAGGAUUUGUUGGGUAAGGGAUUCAUUCGUCCUAGUACUUCACCUUGGGGAGCGCCGGUGUUAUUUGUGAAGAAGAAGGACGGGAAUUUCCGCUUGUGUAUUGACUACCGGGGGUUGAAUCGGGUCACUGUGAAGAACAAGUACCCUUUGCCAAGGAUCGAUGAGUUGUUGGAUUAGUUGAGGGGUGCUACUUGUUUCUCUAAAAUCGAUUUGACGUCGGGUUAUCACCAGAUCCCGAUAGCGGAGGCAGAUGUUCGCAAGACUGCUUUCAGGACGAGAUAUGGACAUUUUGAGUUCGUGGUGAUGCCUUUCGGGUUGACUAAUGCACCUGCAGCGUUCAUGAGGUUAAUGAACAACGUGUUCCAUGAGUUUUUAGA
rnacentral:sRNA from 1 species